GACCAGUUUCGCGUUUGCAGAAUGAGGCACAGCAGCCAACAGUUUUGUGAUCGCAGGACUGACUUCACAUUUUGUGGCCUCACAUGAUGCUAGAAAGAAGAAAAACCGAGGAUGGUGAUGCAGAUCAGGCGGUAAGGGGAGGAAGAAUGAAGAAAUUCCAAAUUUUGGAGGAAUUUACAGUUUGCAAAACAAAGAAAAGUUGAGCAAAUCUACAAGAAGGAAAGUUUGCUCUGAAGCUCAGUGACAUAAACACUAUGAAGUCAGACUCAGCAAUAAAGGGUAAGAGUUUUAUUUACAGGUGUUGGCAAGUUUUGGUCAUCAAUCCUGAAAUGGAGGGUAGAAUCCAGGUGAGUCCAAAAUAACUUGAGUCUUAAUGAGACAAUAUGAGUUCAUCAUCAUCAUAAUCAUAAUAAUCUUUCUUUUCUUACAGGUUGGAGAAAGUGAAGUCGGUCCAGGAGGGAGUUUAAUCCAAAAGAUCCUUGUGGUGGAAAAUCUAAACUGAGCAGUCCUGGUGCACGGAAGACGUCUUGGUGAAUGAACCUAAAACAAGAUCGAAAAGGCAGGUUGUGACAGUAGUAACUUGAGCAGUGAGGCCCAGACCUCUCUUUCUCCAGCCACCUCUUCCAGCUCUUCUGGGAGGAUUCCAAUUGUUCCUGGAGCCAGCCAGGAGACCGAAGCCUCUUUCACAAGAUAGUUCCCUAAAUUCUCCCAUCAGACCAUCUUUAAGCUCCCUCAGGUCAUUCAUAAAUCACAGGUGAAGCUGACCAGUUCCCACUCACAUGUAGUGUGGAACCAACAGAGGAGUGGAGCAGAUCUCAGUUUGGCUGAAGUGGACUGCAACGCAUUUAUUGAAUGACGGACGUCUGCCUCACAUCAAACAAAACAAACUGAAUUGUCUUACUUUAGCGAACCUGUUGUUCAAUAGUUUUAAAACUAGCUACAGUGUUUCUGUUAGGCUCCAUCUUCAAUAUUUCUUGAUAAUAAAUCUGGCUGUUGAUUAA